GCGAACGGACGAGAAGCUUGCUUCUCUGAUGAUUAGCGGCGGACGGGUGAGUAACACGUGGAUAACCUACCUAUAAGACUGGGAUAACUUCGGGAAACCGGAGCUAAUACCGGAUAAUAUUUUGAACCGCAUGGUUCAAAAGUGAAAGACGGUCUUGCUGUCACUUAUAGAUGGAUCCGCGCUGCAUUAGCUAGUUGGUAAGGUAACGGCUUACCAAGGCAACGAUGCAUAGCCGACCUGAGAGGGUGAUCGGCCACACUGGAACUGAGACACGGUCCAGACUCCUACGGGAGGCAGCAGUAGGGAAUCUUCCGCAAUGGGCGAAAGCCUGACGGAGCAACGCCGCGUGAGUGAUGAAGGUCUUCGGAUCGUAAAACUCUGUUAUUAGGGAAGAACAUAUGUGUAAGUAACUGUGCACAUCUUGACGGUACCUAAUCAGAAAGCCACGGCUAACUACGUGCCAGCAGCCGCGGUAAUACGUAGGUGGCAAGCGUUAUCCGGAAUUAUUGGGCGUAAAGCGCGCGUAGGCGGUUUUUUAAGUCUGAUGUGAAAGCCCACGGCUCAACCGUGGAGGGUCAUUGGAAACUGGAAAACUUGAGUGCAGAAGAGGAAAGUGGAAUUCCAUGUGUAGCGGUGAAAUGCGCAGAGAUAUG
rnacentral:rRNA from 1 species